UCUAUAAAUGAUGAUCGGUUUUACCGCCCCAGUCUGAAUGUACAUGACUGAUUGGUAUCCUCUGAGCUCUU
ensembl:snoRNA SNORD31 Small nucleolar RNA SNORD31